GUGGUCAGAUAUGCGCUGAAACCUGCUCAAAAUUCACAAAUAACCAUGGAUCACCAUGCAUGCAAGACUUAUUUUUUUGAGUUGCACCACAAAAUUAAAUACUGCAAAUGUCAGGUGGCAUUUGGAAACCUAUAGAAUCAAGUUAAUAAGCAACUUUAUACAUUUAAAAAGAUGUGGUAGAUUUUCUGCUAACAUUAAUAGAGAACAUUUUUAAUUCAAAAACUGUUGCAUCUAUUUCUGAACCUUG
rnacentral:misc_RNA from 1 species